ensembl:lncRNA
CCCCCGCGGCGUCUGACCGGGUGGGCGCGUGCGCAGUGCGCCCCGGCUCCUGUGCGUCCCGCGUGUUGUCGCCUUCUCUCCGGUCGUGGCGUGGGGUUUCGGAGUCGUCCCCAUCCCAGCUUCAGGUCUGCUACGACCUGGGUCACGGUGCUUGUCGGGAGCGUGGAAUGAAAACGCUUACCGGGGCGGGAGACGACUAGGGGUUGACCUCAAGACCUGGUACACGGUAUACGGGAGCUCUCCUGCCAGGCUACGCUUCCACCCUGAGUUUGCGCCUCUCCUGGCCUAGGAAGCCCUCACCAGGAGGAGCCCGAAGGAACGCCCGCCCCGCUACUUGAUCAAAGAUCGCGAAGUCCCAAAGACCACCAGGAAGUUGAUUCCGAUGUAAGCACACGAGGGCUGUUUAUUCAAGCUGGAGCAGGGGCUCCCAACCAUCACCAACACAGCGGAUCAGAAUUGAGAGCCCCGAAUUUCAAAUUAGCUGGGUUUUUAUUGUGGUUACAGCAAGAGUGUGCCUGAAGUCAUUUUGCAAAACAACCAACCAAAAGGCCUUUGACGUCGGAGAGGAUGUAUGUGGGGCAGAAGAACUAACUACGAGAAUCCUGUGCUCACAACAUCUGCAGCUACAACUCGGAGACAUCAUACAGGCAUUUACUGGGUGUGAGCAAUCAGCAUGUUACAGGUCUGACUAGUUUGCAGCUCCAGUGGGCUGCCUGAGGGUUCGGAAGACAGGUUUCACAAAGAAAAAUCACUGUCACCUCAGCUUCAGACAACCACUAAAUUCUGCCUACGAAUCUUGUAGGAGGCGCUUCAUAUCCAUGGAGCAAAUGUGAGCAUAAAGAAAUGGUGUUGGGACAAACAGCCAUCUGUAAGUAAAGUUGGAAGUAUACCUCAUACUGUACCAAAACGAAUUUCUGAUAGAGAAAACAUAAAUGUUAAAAACUUUGAUCAGAAAAUAUAUAUAGCCCAGGGGUGAUGGUGCAUGCCCAUAAUCCCAAGCACUCUGGGAAACUGAGGCAUGAGAUCCCAAGUUUGAGCCCAGCCUGCACAAUUUGGUGAUUGUCACUCAUUCUACCACUAAGCUACACCCACCAUCCUCUGUGUGUGUGUGUGUGUGCGUGCCGCAGCGUGCCGCACGCGAGCGAGCGUGUGUGUGUGUGUGUGUGUGUGUGUGUGUGUGGUCUUGUUGUUGUUUUUAUUUUCUAGUACUGGUGUUGCAUCCAGGUUGAGCAGCCCACCAGGAUCAGAAACUCAGCAGCAAUAACAAAUUAAAGGGAUGGAGUUUAAGAAGGGAAGCCGAUUUAUUUGUAAGGAGGAAAAAAUAGAAGACACAAAGCUGCCAGGAUAGAGAGCAGGGGCUGCAGAUGAUAUGUGUGUGUCGUCGUGUGUGUCGGGGGGGUCCGCCCCUGCCCCAGCCCUGGUCCCAGGCUCCUUUUGUUAGGUCUGGGGACCCUUCCUUUCGGGUGGGUGGUAACCUGAUCAGUCUCUGGGCGGUCUUUGGGUGGACUCCAGGUCCCCAGAUCCUAACCUGGGUACUUUUGCCUGUGUGCACAAUCCUUUCGGUGGGCUUUCUUUCACUUCUUGCCCUGUUGUGAUCUGCAAGUUGUUGGGAAGGGAUCCUUUUAAGGUUAGUGACUAAGUAAAGGCGUGUGUGUAUAUCUAGUGCAGUAAUAUUGUGCCUCUACAGUGUUUUUAAAUACUAAAUAAAUUUUCUUGUAAAUUAGGUAGCCAUCCCUUGUCUCCCUGACAUUUUAUUGGGGGGAGUGGUGUCCUGGUUUUCAUGCUUCCGGCUUCCUUCCUGCCCCGCCUAGGGUUCUUCUAAUCUCUCCACUAGAGAGCAUUCCUCCCUUGGCUGUAAAUUCUUAUGCUAAUCACACUAUCCGGUGCUUUCUAAGUCUGAUUUCUCUUUCUCUACCUUUGUCCUUUUAAGUGCACAAAUCCAACUGCCAAG